GUGCAUCGUUGCUGGUACAUUCGUCCCAAGGUGAUGUGGUGUCAUGUUGCUUGUGUAUCUUAGUUUUAGCUUUCGAGCUUGAAACAUGUGGAUAAUCGGUUGGUGACAGACAUCACUCCCUUGGUUGAUGAAAGUCGUCCARUGAUGUGGUGGUUUGNUUGUUUUGUUCUCGCAUCGUUCGGUGCAUUCUGUGGUCAUUCUGGCUGNUAGCGGCUUGCUUGGCAWUUGGGCUUGGUGGGUUGCUACUAGUUUGGGUGUCUUCNGGGGAUGUUUUCCGUAAAGGUGCAUGAGUGGUGUUUGGUUUGUUACGGGUGGUUGGCUCUUUGCUUGCGCAACAACUUCCACCCGGCAUACCUCUUCAGUCUUGUGUCAAUGCUUGUAUUGCAUUGAAUGCAUGACGGGUUUCUUGUGUUGCAUGCCUAAUUAAUGGUAUCGUUUGAUGAAUUGGUUUCCUUUUUCGUCUUGCCUCGCCUACGCGAUGUGAGAUGAACCUUGAAGCAACCUUUGUGAUCCACACUUUUGAUGCAUACGCAUUUAUUUUGUGGCCCACUAAUUGUUGCUCGGUCUCAUGGAUAUGGAACCUGGUGUGGGCAUGGAAUCUUAAUGGUUCCUUGUUCGCCCAAGUUUAGCUUUUCUAAAACGAUUGUCUAUCA
rnacentral:misc_RNA from 1 species